GGCGUUAAUAUAGCUCAGUGGUAGAGCAUUCGACUGCUGAUCGAGAUGUCCCCGGUUCAAAUUCGGGUAUCCUCU